GUGGCUUCGGGUGUCGAGCGGCGGACGGGUGAGUAACGCGUGGGAACAUACCCCAGACUGAGGGAUAAGCACCAGAAAUGGUGUCUAAUACCGCAUAACCUCUACGGAGAAAAGCUUCGGCGGUUUGGGAAUGGCCUGCGUAAGAUUAGCUAGUUGGUGAGGUAAAGGCUUACCAAGGCGAUGAUCUUUAGCUGGUUUGAGAGGAUGAUCAGCCACACUGGAACUGAGACACGGUCCAGACUUCUACGGAAGGCAGCAGUAGGGAAUCUUCCACAAUGGGCGAAAGCCUGAUGGAGCAACGCCGCGUGCAGGAUGAAUGCCUUCGGGUUGUAAACUGCUUUUAUAAGUGAGGAUUUUGACAGUAACUUAUGAAUAAGGAUCGGCUAACUCCGUGCCAGCAGCCGCGGUCAUACGGAGGAUCCAAGCGUUAUUCGGAAUGACUGGGCGUAAAGAGUUGCGUAGGCGGCUUAGUAAGCGUGUGAUGAAAUUUCGGGGCUCAACCCCGAAACUGUUACGCGAACUGCUAGGCUAGAGUGUAUGAGGGGUACCUAGAACUCCCAGUGUAGGAGUGGAAUCCGUAGAUAUUGGGAGGAAUACCAAUGGCGUAGGCAGGGUACUGGCAUAUUACUGACGCUAAGGCACGAAAGCGU
rnacentral:rRNA from 1 species